AUAUAAUAAAUGAAGUAAAUCUGUUACUUUCGUCGUCCAAUUUUAGGAGAAAUAACAUACAAUUGCUUCUACACACCAUUCACUCACAAUUCACGAAAAUCCUCUACACUGAAAUAAAGGAACAUAGCCACUCCAUUUUUCUUUUCUGGAUAACGCGCGUCACAUAUAACACACAGAAAGGGAGAAUGACGGAGAGAGAGAGAGAGGAAAGAAACAAACAGCCCUGUCAUGCUACUAUUCCGGAACUUUCUUUGUUGCCGGAAAACGGCUCAAGUCCACCGAAAAGGUGCCAAUAGCUCGGAUUCCACCGUGGAACUGGAAAACUCGACCAAGAUUCAAAUAGUCGUAACCCUCAGUUGAGUUUUUCUUUCAAAACCCACCGGAAAAUAGUCAAAGCCGACCCAAAAAACUCCGUUCCGAUGAUAUCCAUCGGAAAACGAGUGAAGCGAGGACGUUGAACACUGAAUCUGAUUUGUCGGGUUCGAGUUCAAUCCGAAUUCAUUCUGAGAUUAGUGGUUGAUUUUUUUUGGGUUUCCUAUAUCGAGUUGGUAUUGUUGGCUGCUGAGGUUCAUUCGAGACUCAGACUGCGGUUUUAGUCGGAAGAAGUAAUUUUAAUCGAAAUCGAUAUUAAGUGGCUUUGGGUAUUGGGUUGAUUACUUGUAAAGGCAAUUGAAGUGGGUACAUGGAGAAGCGGAUUCAUGAUUUAAAUUCUAUGAGUUGGUUUGAUACACGAGAUAAGAUUGAAUAUUUCUGAUUAAGUCUGAUAUAAAAUUUAUUUAUGUUGUCUUUAAUUGACGAUAUAAAUUUAUCUCAUAUAACUUAACCAAAUGUAAUAUAAACUUUAUCUCAAGGUUAAUCCAUUGAUGUGUGGGUGUAGUUCUCCUAAGAUUGUAUCAAUAGUAUCAGAGUCACCCAUCAUCCUCCGUGACCACCGUUCCUGCAUGGUGACGUCGGUGUGACAGUGUUCGAUUGGGGCUAACAAUGUCUAGCGCACAACCUUCUAAGCUCCUGGGCACCUGACUCGAAAAGAGCUACGUGGAAAAGAGCUACCUACACAAAAGAGUGAAAGCAGCCUAGAGUGGAGCCGUCGAGGAUGAUGGAUGCGGAGUGUAGUGGUUUGUUAUGAUUCUAUUGCAAAAAGUCCCAUAUCGAUUUAUGGAGAACUGAUGUGGGGCUUAUAUAACCUUGGGUUCUCCGCUUUAAUAAAUUGCUUUUGGGACGUGGUUCUCUUAAAGUUGUAUCACAAAGUGUGGAGAGACUGUUUCUGAUGGACACAUUAGACUGUCGACUUAAGAAAAAGCUUAAUCCUGAUAUA